rnacentral:pre_miRNA from 1 species
UGCACCAAGCAGGAUGCACUGUCAGCAAAAGUAUUGAAAGCGUGUCUAGGUGGAAGCACCUUCAGUUGACAUGGCACUGAAAACGCUUCCAGACGGAUGCGCUUUUAGUACUUUUGCUGAUGUGCGUCCUGUUUGGAGUG